ACAAUUACCUUCUAAAAAGAAAAAUUAACCUCACUCUCUUUGCCUAGUUGGUCCUGUCUCAUAUAUCUGUUGGUUGCCCGUGUGUCGGGUGUGUGGUUGCCUUCCAGUUCGCUGCGUGUCAGCUGGGCUUCCACGGAGGAUACCUCGUCUUUGCCUGUGUGUCGGGAGCUAGAUCGCCCUUCCCUGCUAAGUGUCGUUCUGCACCUCACUAAGCUUCAACUGAGGAUUCUACAAAUCUAUUCCUGACUUCCAAAAUGCACACACUCAUUCUACGAACACACUCUUCAUGGCGCGCAUGCUUCUCUGUCAUCCCUCCCCGCUGUUGCAGCCGGUGCCGGGAUCCUCGACAUCCACAGUGACUGCUCACAUUUAUUGUAAAUAAAUCCUUUGAACUGUUCCUCUGCAUUUGGGUCUGUUUGUCUCGCAAGUUAUAUAUUUAGACAUUAUAAAAGUCAGUUAUCUGUAAAAUUGUUGAAUUUUUUUCUAUUUGUUAGAUUUUGUAGUGAUGUCACAAUAUACUUGCAGUCAAACCUGACCAUGGUGUUUAGUUCCCACACAGCAAAUUCACUGGAGUUAGAUUUCCAGAGUAAAAUAUUUGGUGUUGCCCAGUGCUAAAAUCAGUGUACAUUUUAAUCUACAAGUGCUAAAUUGUGUCUGUGAAGAAAGUUAUUUUUCAGUGGUAAACUUUUAACCCAAUGAGCAGUGCAUUACCCACAAUCCUCACGUCUCUUCAGGAUUGAAAGCUGCCAUGAUGAUCGGCAUCCAGUUCAAUUAUCACGUUGCUCUUUCAUGUAAUAUGGAGGGGAAAAAAAUGACUAAAGGCGUUUUUCCAAACGGCAGCACUGCGGGAAGGUUCGUUCCAAAUAAAAAGUGCCAACAACAAGAGAUCUGUCCUUCAAAAGGAGUAGGGCAUAGGGAUGAUCAUUUUCAAUUGGAAUUCACCCUGACGGAGCAGAUUACACCAGCUUGACAACGGAUGCUUAUCAAUGGCAUUUUGAAGCAAAAGGAACAUGCAGUUUUGGCCGAAUAUAAAGAACAUGGAGAGAUCAGACUCAACACGAUGACAAUUGUUCAAUAUUAACAAAAAUUUCUUCACAAAGCCAGUAACACUAAUUCCUGUCACUGAAGGAUCCAUUCUAAAGGGCUGAAUGUACUUCACCAAAAUAACAAACAUAAAUGUAUGCGACAAUGACAUAUUCUCAGUUUUACUACUGACUUACCUUUUGCCCCGAUCUGCUGGUUUAAGGAACUAAUGCACCAAGCUUUUCAAAGGAAGAUAAAAAUAUACAGCGCUGGAUACCAGCAGUAAGGAGAGAGAAACGGGCAACAUUUUCUGUCACUCCCUCAGCAGAUGUGUUUUUCUGCAGUCUGACCGAGCAUGCUACAAAGACUGACGGCCUUCAACCACGUUGCAGCUGGCUCAGCGAAGAACAACAUCCACUAUUUUGCAUUUGAUGGACAACUCAUUCCACGUCAGGCAAAUUGAAGACUUCCCUUGCAACUUCUGAUGAACUUUCUUUUUUUAAAGUACAUUUAGUCUUUACCAUCUUUUACACCCAUUGCCUAAAAACCAUGUAUACAUCAUCCAGGUGACAAUCUACAACACUGACCUCUCUUGGGUUAAGGACUUACAGCCAACACUUUUGAAUUAGUUUCACUGCAAUGCAGUGAAAUGUUUUUUUAUCCUCUUGCACUAAUUUCUUAGUCAAGUACAGUCAAGGUACAUUAUGGUGUGUGUGUGAUUGUAUUUAUUGCAUGUCAAAUUGCAAAUGGUUGAAUAUAUUGCUUUUAUUUCUACAUGUUUGUUCAUUAUUAUUGGUAUCACACAAAUAAAUUAUAAAGAAACAAGUACUUUAUAAAUCAACAAAUUUCAGGUGUUUAUUUAACCCUACCAAGGUGCACAUCUGGGUAGGGUUGCACCAGCUGUGCGUAAGUUCUCACGUAAGUUGGGACGUAAAGUUCACACUAAGGGCUUUGUAACUACUAGUUAGUUUGUAAAUAAGUCAGUGCUUAAUUUGGUUGCACCACCUGUUCUUAAGGCAAGACUUAACUAGUAGGUCGUAAGCUCUCUGUAAAGUAAUGCGUAGUCGCAUAAUAUGACGUUUACCCGUAUUUAUCCAA